rnacentral:rRNA from 1 species
UACAGAGGUGGCAAGCGUUGUUCGGAAUUACUGGGCGUAAAGGGCGCGUAGGCGGUUCGUUAAGUCCUGUGUGAAAUCCCCCGGCUCAACUGGGGAACUGCACAGGAAACUAGCGGGCUUGAGGACUGGAGAGGAGACUGGAAUUUACGGUGUAGCGGUGAAAUGCGUAGAUAUCGUAAGGAAGACCAGUGGCGAAGGCGGGUCUCUGGACAGUUCCUGACGCUGAAGCACGAAGGCCAGGGGAGCAAACGGG